CUCCUUUGCCGGCGAGUGGCGCACGGGUGCGUAACGCGUAUACAACCUACCUUAUACAGGGGUAUAGCCCAGGGAAACUUGGAUUAACACCCCAUAGUAAUAUGUUUUGGCAUCAUUACAUAUUUAAAACUACGGUGGUAUAAGAUGGGUAUGCGUCCCAUUAGCUUGUUGGUGUGGUAACGGCACACCAAGGCAACGAUGGGUAGGGGCCCUGAGAGGGGGAUCCCCCACACUGGUACUGAGACACGGACCAGACUCCUACGGGAGGCAGCAGUGAGGAAUAUUGGACAAUGGGCGGGAGCCUGAUCCAGCCAUGCCGCGUGCAGGAAGACUGCCCUAUGGGUUGUAAACUGCUUUUAUACGGGAAGAAACCCACCUACGUGUAGGUGGCUGACGGUACCGUAAGAAUAAGGACCGGCUAACUCCGUGCCAGCAGCCGCGGUAAUACGG
rnacentral:rRNA from 1 species